rnacentral:rRNA from 1 species
UACCAGCACCCCGAGUGGUCGGGACGUUUAUUGGGCCUAAAGCAUCCGUAGCCGGUUCUACAAAUCUUCCGUUAAAUCCACCUGCUUAACAGAUGGGCUGCGGAAGAUACUAUAGAGCUAGGAGGCGGGAGAGGCAAGCGGUACUCGAUGGGUAGGGGUAAAAUCCGUUGAUCCAUUGAAGACCACCAGUGGCGAAGGCGGCUUGCCAGAACGCGCUCGACGGUGAGGGAUGAAAGCUGGGGGAGCAAACCGG